GAUGAAGAACGUAGCGAAAUGCGAUAAGUAAUGUGAAUUGCAGAAUUCAGUGAAUCAUCGAAUCUUUGAACGCACCUUGCGCUCCCUGGUAUUCCGGGGAGCACGCCUGUUCGAGUGUCGCGAAAUUCUUCAAGCCUUGGAUGGAUUUUUUUUGUCUGUCCUUGGGCUUGGUUGUUGGGCUCUGCCGUGUCCUUCAUUGGGACGGCUGGCCUUAAAAGCAUUAGCCGAUCCUCGUGUGGUACUGGUUCUACUCAGCGUGAUAACAAUCUGAUCGUUGAGGACAUCUUCUGGAUGGCCAGUCAUCAUUUGGGUUGCUUCUAAACCGGUUUCGCAGAUUGCUCAAUCUGUGUGCCACUUUUCAGCUUUGACCUCGAAUCAGGUGGGACUACCCGCUGAACUUAAGCAUAUCAAUAAGCGGAGGA
rnacentral:misc_RNA from 1 species